AAUGAACGCUGGCGGCGUGCUUAACACAUGCAAGUCGUACGAGAAACCCCGGCUUGCCGGGGGAGUAAAGUGGCGCACGGGUGAGUAACGCGUGGGUAAUCUACCCUCGAAUUGGGGAUAACACACCGAAAGGUGUGCUAAUACCGAAUAAGACCACGACCUCCACGGGGGUUGCGGUCAAAGAUGGCCUCUGCUUGCAAGCUGUCGUUUGAGGAUGAGCCCGCGUACCAUUAGCUUGUUGGUGGGGUAAUGGCCUACCAAGGCAACGAUGGUUGGCUGGUCUGAGAGGAUGGCCAGCCACACUGGAUCUGGAACACGGUCCAGACUCCUACGGGAGGCAGCAGUGAGGAAUUUUGCGCAAUGGGGGAAACCCUGACGCAGCAACGCCGCGUGAGUGAAGAAGGCCUUCGGGUUGUAAAGCUCUGUCAAGUGGGAAGAACCUUUUUCGGCCGAAUACGCCGAGAAACUGACGGUACCGCUGAAGGAAGCACCGGCUAACUCCGUGCCAGCAGCCGCCGUAA
rnacentral:rRNA from 1 species